rnacentral:rRNA from 1 species
AGAUUGAACGCUAGCGGCAUGCCUAACACAUGCAAGUCGAACGGUAACAGGCCCUUCGGGGUGCUGACGAGUGGCGGACGGGUGAGUAAUGCGUAGGAAUCUACCCACGAGUGGGGGAUAGCCCGGAGAAAUCCGGAUUAAUACCGCAUAUGCCCUACGGGGUAAAGCGGGGAUCGUAAGACCUCGCGCUGGUGGAUGACGCCUAGUUAGUUGGGUAGGGUAACGGCCUACGAGCUACGAGUCGGUAGCGUGGUCUGAGGAGGACCGACCACGCCACACGUGGGACUGAGACGACCGGCCCAGACUCCGUACGGGAGGCAGC